rnacentral:lncRNA from 1 species
GGGCGAGGGCUGCGCGGCCGCGGCGGGGCGAGCGGCGGAGCUUUAGCUUGCUUGAUGCCUGUCUCUUGCUGUUCAGUGACUGGGCCCCUCAUGUGUGCAGUCAGUGCUGGAGCUUCUUUCCUGCAUCAGAACUCCCAGGCCAGGUCAGUGCUCAGUCUGAUUUGUGUUCUGCUGCACGAAGGUUGCCAGAUUUUACUUGAUGCUACAGGUGCUUUAAAGUUUUGCAGUAACUUCCUACCUGCAUUUUUUUCAAGCAACUGGUUAAUGCAGUGGUAUGCUGGCAGGAAAGUUCUAUGGCAAGGUGUGAAUUUAACUUUUUUUUGCAGGUAAAACUAGGAAAACUAGGUUUCUUGGAGUACCUUCUACUGUAAGAAUUAGUAGAUCAGGUCAGAUGGUUGCAGCAUUACGUGCAGCAGUGGUUAUGUUAUUAACAACUGAUUUGGGAAGGCAUAUGAGUAAUGCCUUGACAAGUUUAAGUUCCAUUUCAGAACAAUUUAUAAGGUCAUCAGUGUAUUUCUUAAAACACUGAUGUUCAAAAAUGCCUUUCAAUUAGGCACAAGAAUAAGGUUAUCAAAGCUGCUACAGUCUGCAGCCAGUCUUUCUCUUUUGUGCAUCCCGCUGCUCUUUUUCUUGUGGUUGUUAGCAUUUAAAGAGCAUGUUUAUGGUUUUUGGUAGCAUCUGCAAUCAACAGAAAUUACCCUGAAAUCCUAAUAAAUGAACCAAAGAAAGAUCUUCAGUUCUCUUUCCAUUAUAUAAACUUAAUUUUAAUUAUGUUGUAUUAAUAUCUGAAAUUAUUUAUUUCCUGCUAAUAUAAAUACUUAAAAUCUUAAAAUAUGAGGUUUUUUUCCUGUUUAAUUAGCUUGGCAGAGUUCGUGCAUCACUGUGCAGUGUAAAUAAACUGUUACUGUAUUUCAUGUUUCAGAGCAGAGGGGCAUUACUGAAUUAAUAUACAUUUCUUUUGUAAUUGUGUUGUUGGGUAAUUGUGCUUUAUAAAACUAUUUAACUUUUUACAUUUAAAUUGUCUCUGUGUUGUUUGUUUCAUUUUUGUUCUUUUUUUUUUAACUAGCACUGCUAUGCCAUAUUAAAUCACAUCUUCUUGCAUGAAAAAGGAUGUAAAAUGGAAUACAAAUCCAAAAUGGAGAUUCUUAUCAGAGUAAAAAGAGAGGAACAAAAUAAAACCACAGUACUAAAGCAGAGAUUCCCAAACUUAUUGUACUGGAGUUUCGUCACUGGUACGGAUGGGGAGGGACUGUUGGUGCCAGUGGUGUUAAUUUUUCUAUCUUAUCUUCCUCAACCUGUGACACAUUCCUGAGGGCAGAACUCAGCUCUGUCCUUUCUGCCUCACUUAAUAGUUUAUCAGCCCUACUUCAUUCCAUCCUGUUCUUGUAGACCACCAUCUGCUUGUGUAUGGCAAGCCCAGUUCCAAAAUUGCUCUCAAAGCAGUAUCUGCUUACAAAAUGUUUAUUGUUAAGUGUGAUGGUGUUCACAGGCCUGGCUGGGAGGUAUUGCAAUACACUGCAGUUAGAAACAAAGUGUGGCAAAUAGCUGGUCUUACAAAUCCUUAUCCAGAUAAGUCAUGCAUUCAGCGGCCUUUGAGGGCAUUUCAUUAAGGAUUACAUGUGAUUAGUGGUCUGUAAGGUCAAGAGUACGACCUGUCAUUAAUGAGUAUUCAUAUAUUAAUGCUGCUUUGAGUAGGAAGUUCAACUAGAUUGCCUCUGAGGUCAGUUGCAAUGAGAAUGUUAUGAUUAUCACACUUGUAUUGUGCAAAUAGAUAUUUAAUUUAUAAAAUGACAUAUUAAAUAAGCUAAGCCCUAUGCAGAUGUUGCAAUUAGUUUUACUUAUUCUGUUAUAUUGUAGCAUGGAGAUACAAAUUUGACCCAAGUUUUAAGAUUUAAAACAGUUUAAAAAAAAAAAAAAAGGCUUUGUGUACGUUUCAUUGAAUUCCUUGUACAUAGUUUUAUAUUCUUAGCCUACAACUGAUUUGGUUGUGGUUCUGGUACUAGUCAAUAGUGCCAGCAAAUGCAGUGCUUUUAUUUGCAGCUGAACUGUGUCAAUGGGCUCAAGUUGACUCUGACUAUUUCAGGUACUGUUGGCACUGAGGCUGUUGUACAAAGCCAUUGGUGCAGGUCAGCAGUCUGAGAAAGAAAGGUUUGAGGCCGCCAAAACUUCCAAAGCAAAGAGUCUGCAUGUGAGAAGGAAUUCUUAUAUUCAAAAACUAUGAAACAAACAAUGCUCCGUGAGAUUAUACUGUGUACAUUCUGAAUAUACAUAGAUGUUGCCACAGCUGGUUGAGUUGAAUAAACAAUAUGUGCUGAAUGAGUUUCAAGGGGAAUGCUUUUUCAUUAUUUAAGAAAUUGUGUUUUGACGGACAGUAGUGUGAUCCUUCUCAUUAAGGUGUGUGGGGAACUCAUACAGAUUUCCUUCCUGUGUUUGGAUAAAAUGUAUACCUACUGAUACUUCUUUCACCGUUACCAUUUAGUAUUGUAAAUUAAUUAUUUUAGUCAUAGAAUCAAGGUUGGAAAAGAUCACUAAGGUCAUCCAGUCCAACUGCUGACCCAUCACUGACCAUGCCCACCAAACCAUGUCCCUCAGUGCCACAUCUACAUCUAAAAAGUUGGUGGUAAGUGAGGAAGUCUCAAAGUGCCUCACUGCAAAAAGCCAAAUCACUUUCUCAUGGAUGUGACUGGAAAUAUUUUUGGACAACAUUUGACCCUUCCAAAAUAUAUUAAAUAUCCACAUGUGAUUGUUGUCCUGUCUCACUGCAGUGUGUUUCAGGGAAGUAUUUGGUUGCUUGCAUGUUUUUAUUAAAAAAGAAAAGGGUCUAAGGUGUCAGCUGAUGUAAGUAGUGUAUUAAGGACUAGGCAGACCUCCUGGACUAUAGCAACUAUAGAAAGCAAUUAAAUGGAAUAAAAGGUGCUAUGAAGGAGCUGAGUGAAUUCUUUACGUCACUCUUUGCCACAGAGAAUGUUAUGAACAUUCCGUUGUUUUCAGACAAUGGAGAUGCAACGUUAUCUGAUUAUUGAAUUAGAGAAUCAAAAGAUUGAAUGCUCAAAUGCUGAAGGGCCCCUCAGUCACAAGGACUACAUGCAGUUCCUCCCGUGAUUCUAGAGAAUGAAGUGGCUGAGCUGCUAAGAAUGCCUCUGCUUAGGAAGUGAUGCUGUGCCAGAAGACUGGGAGUUGUCAGUUGGUGUAUGUGCUGCUCUUCUAAACUGAGACGAUGUGGAAUUUGCAGACCAAGGAUUCAUAUUUAAAUGCCAAGCUAACUGAUGUAAAUACUGAAGUACUUGAAUAUAGUCAAGCAGUUCUGUGAGCACAUGGUCUAAUAGAACCUAUUUUCCUACAUAACUCUAUACCUUAGAGGUACCAGCUGCUGCUGGGAUGUUUGUAAGCUGUUUCUAUUAUGUCUAUAUUGGUGUUUCAAUAACGUGGGUACAUGCUGCAGCCUUUAGUCAGUUUGGGCAUUUUGUGGCUGUCUUUAUUCACCUGCCCAGCACUUGGAAUUCUGACAUCUCUGAACACAUUCAAUACUGUAAAUGCUUUUUGCUUGCUCUUUCACAAAACUGAAAUCAGGUAGUGGACGUAUGAAGGGUCAGGCAGAACCUAGGUAGGCACAAUAAACAUUUGUCUCAUCUUUCUUUACCUGUCUGAACAGAUAAGCAGCAGGAAGGUCAUCUGUUUGGCACUUCUAACCAAAAUAGGGGUUCGUCAUGUUAUGCCUCAAGAGUCUACAGUAGAAGUGAUUAAUUUUGUCUUUGGAUGCUUAUUUAAAGUAAAAUUCUAUAUACAUUUGGUAAAACUAGAUAAAGUUGUGAGGAACUUGAGGACGGUCUUCUAAAGAAAGCUGUAUUAGCAUAAUAAUGGUAGAUGUCAUUCAGUAUUUGCAGUUACAAAAUAACUCUCAGUGGAAGGAACAACUGAACUACUUAAAGAGAUUUCUAAAUUACAAGUAAAUGUUGCAAAGAUACAUUUAAGCUCCCAGGUGAAAAUAUCUUUAGAAGUACCCACUAUGAAAGAAGCAGCUUAAAAAUUUAUUCUAAUGAUGCUCCUUAGUAGCUUUAAAUGAAAGUUCCUUACUUAGUCAUCUCAGCUGAAAUGAACUGUCCAUCUGGUUUCAUUGCCAAAGCCAUUGAUGCUUACUUUACCGAUCAGUGUGUUUACGUACCCUCUGGGUGUUGUUAAAUGCUGUUGAUAACUAACAAGUUCUUGACAAAUAGGUAAAGUCUUGACAACUUACAUAAUUAAAAUAAUAGUGCUGUAUUUCUUGCUUUCGGUUUAUUUUCUUCGGGUUAUCUCUAAAUGCUCAAUAAUGGCAAUACAUUCAUUCUGCCAUUUGGAGGAGCCUGUGCCACAGAAUAAUGAUCCGAAGAGAGCUCAUGUAUUUGCAAGGAAGAGUCCUCAUUUGUGCAAUAGUGUUGAUGCAGCUAAGAGGUGCUUUGCCAAGUUCAGGUAAGUGUUUUCUCUUUGCUAUUUUAAAAUGUAGGUCUGCUGGCAUUUCAUUUAAAUUAGCAUGCGUGCAUUGCCGUGUCAGAGCCUGUCAGCCUUCGUGUUGGUCAUUUGGCACAUGAGGUAUCCUGAAAUGAAAAGGCGUGUGCUGUAGCAUGCAUGCCUACAAGAUGUGCAGAGGGAAGUUUUUGUCUUGAAAAUUAUUUGGGGAUAAUUCCUGGUCUCCGGAGUAGUUUGUGAGGAUGGAGGCUGUGGUGAUCAUAAUGACACAGGUCCCUUUUGCUACGAGUUCUUUUUCAGAGUUGGGCUUCUUUAUUUUCAGGAUUAAUUAUUUUGCAGAGCCACGGACGGUUGUGGUUGUGGAUGUAAGUGUUAGUAAUUAGUUAAAAUGGAUCCUUAAAUUUUGGCGUGGUAACAUUGGCUCAGGAUUUAAUUUUAUAUUGUGGGUGUUUUCUGUUUGUUUGUUUUUUCUAGACGUCCAAUUAUUUUAAUAACAUAAUAACGACAUCACAGCAGAAGCUGCUUUACAGCCGUACUCUGUAUGGGAAAUGUUGGCAGUGUAGCUCCAGUAAAAAGUGCUAGCAGUAGAAUAAUAAAAUAAUCAUAAAUAAAUAUUUAAGUGCAUACUUGAAUUUAUUUUCUUGGUCUUACUGCAAGCUGCAGAGGUUUAGCUGGCUAUAGGCUUGGUCUUCCAACCAUUAGUCAAAUGAGAGAAUUUGCAAAGAAGACCAAACCAUGCUUAUCAGUAAGGCAUAGUACAGUUUGUCAGG